rnacentral:rRNA from 1 species
GAUGAACGCUGGCGGCGUGCCUAAUACAUGCCAGUCGAGCGAACGGACGAGAAGCUUGCUUCUCUGAUGUUAGCGGCGGACGGGUGAGUAACACGUGGAUAACCUACCUAUAAGACUGGGAUAACUUCGGGAAACCGGAGCUAAUACCGGAUAAUAUUUUGAACCGCAUGGUUCAAAAGUAAAAGACGGUCUUGCUGUCACUUAUAGAUGGAUCCGCGCUGCAUUAGCUAGUUGGUAAGGUAACGGCUUACCAAGGCAACGAUGCAUAGCCGACCUGAGAGGGUGAUCGGCCACACUGGAACUGAGACACGGUGCAGACUCCUACGGGAGGCAGCAGUAGGGAAUCUUCCGCAAUGGGCGAAAGCCUGACGGAGCAACGCCGCGUGAGUGAUGAAGGUCUUCGGAUCGUAAAACUCUGUUAUUAGGGAAGAACAUAUGUGUAAGUAACUGUGCACAUCUUGACGGUACCUAAUCAGAAAGCCACGGCUAACUACGUG